rnacentral:rRNA from 1 species
GAGGCAGCAGUGAGGAAUAUUGGUCAAUGGGCGAGAGCCUGAACCAGCCAAGUAGCGUGAAGGAUGACCGCCUAUGGGUUGUAAACUUCUUUUAUAUGGGAAUAAGGGUGCCACGUGUGGCAUUUUGUAUGUACCAUAUGAAUAAGGAUCGGCUAACUCCGUGCCAGCAGCCGCGGUAAUACGGAGGAUCCGAGCGUUAUCCGGAUUUAUUGGGUUUAAAGGGAGCGUAGGUGGACAUGUAAGUCAGUUGUGAAAGUUUGCGGCUCAACCGUAAAAUUGCAGUUGAUACUGCGUGUCUUGAGUACAGUAGAGGUGGGCGGAAU